CCCACACUCCAGCCUGCCCUGCUCAGUCAAGGGCUCUGGCACGGGCCGCUCUCCCCUGGGGACUGGACGGCCUGGGCGCACACCCUGGCCCCCAGCUCUCCUCCAGCCCAGGGUGCCUGCCUUCCUCCCUCCUUUCCCCACACCCAAGGGAGAGCUGUGGGGA